GCUUGCCAUAACAAAGAGAUUGAAUAGUUAUUGAAUGAAGACAAUUCAACUUGACAUUUUGUAUUAAUUUGUAAAUAUGAAAUAUAAAAAACACAUAGUUCCACUUUGACAUUAUUGUGUGUAGGCCAGUGAGACAAAAAUGAACAUUUAAUCCAUUUAGAAUUCAGGCUGUAACGUAACAUAAUGCAGAAAAAGUCAAGGGGUGUGAAUACUUUCUGAAGGCACUGUACAUAAGUGGAGGCUGGUGGGAGGAGCUUUAGGAGGACAUGUUCAUAGUAAUAGCUGGAAUGGAAUUAGUGAAUGGUAUAAAACAGAUGAAACAUUUGGAACCAACAUAUUUGACUCUGUUCUUUUGAUUCCACUCCAACCAUUACAAGGAGCCUGUGCUCCUAUAGCUCGUCCCACCAGCCUCCACUGCUCCACAUGUAUAUUAUAUGAUAAUAGUCUAUUGUGUAUAAAUUUGUUGUGCAUUUUUACUGAAUUAAAUAUACUUUGAUGUAAGUUGUCUAACACUUUUGUGGCUUAUUUGUUGUUUUAAUGUAUGUGGAAAGGUAAAUGAAAUAGAAAGGUAAAUGAAAUAGAAAGGUAAAUGAAAUAGAAAGGUAAAUGAAAUAGAAAGGUAAAUGAAAUAGAAAGGUAAAUGAAAUAGAAAGGUAAAUGAAAUAGAAAGGUAAAUGAAAUAGAAAGGUAAAUGAAAUAGAAAGGUUAAUGAAAUAGAAAGGUAAAUGAAAUAGAAAGGUAAAUGAAAUAGAAAGGUAAAUGAAAUAGAAAGGUAAAUGAAAUAGAAAGGUAAAUGAAAUAGAAAGGUAAAUUACAUUUUUACUUCCUCCCAAAAACACUUUGAAAGGUCAGAUUCCCUGCAUGCUCUCUGAUCACUUGCCUCCUUCUUCCUGCUUCUUGUCUAUCCUCCAGAAUGCAACUUUUAAAUUGGGAGCUAAUGUUUCUUUGUAGGUUUUCUUCAAGCUUGGUUUGAAGCCGUAGAGAGAUUCCCCUAGUUCAGCAUAUUUCCCGCUUUGUAAUAUUGAUUGCCCUUGUGGUUCUCUGAAGCCAUCUGUCAUAAGGUGUGUGUUUGUGUGUGUGUGUUGUGUGUGUGUGUAUGUGUGUGCACGCAUGUGGGUUUGUGUGUGUUUCUGCAUACAAAACAGCUUGCCUCAAAAGUGUGUGUGAUGGAACCCAAGGAUUUAGGAGCCAAUCAGAGGGCUGCUUCAUCCACAUUAGUGCUCACCCCUCUUUCUGUGCAUCCUGUCUUGCUUUAGUCUCUCUCUGCAGAAGCCAACACAUCUCAGGCCAGCACACUCAGACAUCAGGCUAACAAAGUUAUGGUGAACUCAAUGGACUUUUAACAAGUCCUAAAAAUAUAGAAAACCUUAGAGUCCACCCUGUCUUAUUUGUGUCUGUGCAUCAGUACUUCUGCGUGUGGAUAUCAGUUACAUAUGGUUCAGAAGGCUGCAAUGAUAAAGUCAUAGGUAUGACCUUAGAUGACUCGCAUACUCUUACUCACCCUCUCCAUCUCUGUAAUACUGCAGGUAGGCUCCGGUGUACUGCAGGCCUGUAUCCCAAAUGGCACCCUAUUCCUUAUAUUGUGCACUAUUUUGAACAAAGCCCUGGUGAAAUAUAGUGGACCCUAUAGGGAAUAGGAUGCCAUUGGGACACAGGUCAGCUCACCUCCCAGAGCCCCUACGUCUCACAGCUGUAGCGGGGCUAGAAAGGUGCUGUGAUACUCCAGGGUUAGCUAAGAGGGAAGGAUGUAGAUAGGUGAUUGUUUCUCUUCUCUUCUUCUUGUUCUUGUCACCUGCCCCUGCAUUUCACUAAUUUACUUCAUUAGAACAACAAACCUGAUAAAAUGCUCAUUAGGACACAACUUCAG